rnacentral:rRNA from 1 species
UACGUAGGGUCCGAGCGUUGUCCGGAGUUACUGGGCGUAAAGCGCGCGCAGGCGGCUCGGCAAGCAUGGCGUGAAAGCCCCCGGCUCAACCGGGGAGAGUCGUCGUGGACUGCCGGGCUUGAGGGCGGUAGGGGUUGGUGGAAUUCCCGGUGUAGUGGUGAAAUGCGUAGAGAUCGGGAGGAACACCCGUGGCGAAGGCGGCCAACUGGGCCGACCCUGACGCUGAGGAGCGAAAGCGUGGGGAGCGAACAGG